rnacentral:lncRNA from 1 species
UUUCAGUUGCUUGCACCUCCAGAUCUGGGAGCUUCUUUCUCCUGCCUAAGCACCUGUAGUUAGGUUCCAUUAUUCUAGACCUGGAGGUCACCUGAGAUCAUCACCUUGAGACCUCCAAGGUUUCUUUCUUUCUUUUUUUUUUUUUCUUUUCAAAAAUUAAGAAGUUAGCAUUAGUCUGGAGAUGAGUGAAAGGCUCUGCCUGAAAGGUUGCAGGCAGAGAGCAACCUCCCCUACUACCACCACCACCACAACACAACCAGUUAUUUCCUUUGAGAAGUGUCAAAUGAUGGGACUCCCACAGGCGGUCUCACUUGGCUCUGCACCACCACCCCUCAAGAAAAAGGUGAUCUUUGCUGGGAAGGAAAUGAGGACGAGGGACGAGAGGAAGGCCGUGACGUGAGCUGAGUGUGGCCAGGGACUGGGAGAAAGGGUGAGGAGGCGGGCCGGCAUGCCUUUGCUGCUGGCCGGAGCUCUUUUCACAUUGUGCUACUGUCUAACGUGUACCGAGCAGUGCAAUGUUAAAAGGGCAUCGGCCUUGUAGUACUACCCAGUGCCGGCAGCCUCCUCAGCAUCACUGCAUUUUCUCCCACCUGAGCACCAGUCAGCUACUCUGCUGGCAAUUUGGAUAUAUGGAGCCCUCCCUUAGAUGAGGAAGCUAAGGCUGUAGAGCUCCUAAGUUAACUGCUCUAUCCUGAGCCCAACAGGAAGGCACCCAUUUUUGUAGACCUGUCCAGAGAGAUUUGAACUGAGGGGGUGAAUGGUUUUGAUGCCACCUGCUGGUUAUGUGAGGAUAUCAUCUGAAGUCUUCAGCUUUUAAGAAUAAACUCCGCCGCCACACCCCCCACACCCCUGCCCCGCCAAGGGGCAGCUCCUUAAAUGAAGGUCUGAGUUUUCAGGUGAAGCUUGGGAUGGGCAGAUGGUGAAGUAUGGGAGAAAAUUUGUGAGGCCCACAGAAGGCCUCUGGGGAUAGGGUGCACUGAAAAGGAAAGGGGCUAACAAGAAAGGACAGAUGCCUAGGCAAAGGGGCUUCGGUGUCCCUCCUGUCCUCUACGGCUCUUCCUUGCAUCUUCCAUGUAGGAAGGAGGUCUCCUCUUCACUCAGUUUUCAGCAUGACACUCUCCUGACCACUCACUUGCUUGUGAUGGUUCUUGAAGGCCUGGUCACCCAGGAUUCGGUCAGCACUAGUUAGAAUCUUAAGUGGUGCCCAGAGUCUUCUCGUGCUCCACAACCACACCAUUGACUUUUCUGUCUUUCACAGGGCUCUCCUUGAGCAGAUUUUAAAGCUUGCUCUGAUGCAGCAAGUGGGGCCAAAGGAUGGAAUUGGGUACCUACUAGAAUUUAAGGAAAGAAGACACUGUGGGUCAGACACUCCUAUGGUCCCAGCACUCAGGCUUCUGGCUUGUUGGCCCUUCUGUGUCUGCUGGUUCUUUGUCCUUUCUACAGUCUCUCGAUUCUGAUGCUAACAGCACAGGUGGCUCUAGGCUGGAGAGAUGGCUCAGCGGUUAAAAGCACAGCUAUGCUCUUGCAGAGGUCCUGAGUUCAAUUCCCAGCAACCACAGGGUGGUUCACAACUAUCUAUAAAGGGAUCGGAUGCCCUCUUCUGGUGUGUCUGAAGACAGUGACAGUGUAGUCACACUACAGAUAGCUCUAAAUCCAUUACUUCAGUCUAAGUAAUCUGAGCCUCCCUGGGUAGAGUGGUGCACACCUUUAAUCCCGGUACUGAAGAGGGAGGUAAAACUGAGUUCAAGAUUCGCAUGAUCUUUAUAGGAAGUUUCAGGCAAGCCAGAGCUAAGUAGUGAAACUAUGGCAACCCUCCCUCCCUUGCACAGCAUGAGAAAGUACUGAGCUUGAUCCCAAACACAAGGGAUCCACGGGCCAGAUGCGGCAGAACACGCCUAUAAUCUCAGAAAUAAUAAGUAAUUAGAAACUGGAGGUAGGAUUAGAAAGUCAUACCGCAAGUUAGAAGGCCAGCCUAGGCUACAUAAGACUAUUUCAGAAUAACAGUAGUUUGCCCAUGCUUUCCCAGUGUCCUUGAGAUGCAGUCCCAAUCCUCUGAGGUUUACAGCUCUUCCCCUUUCUCCCAUUUUAAUCUCAUGUCUCAUCCUCUUGCACUUCUGUUCCAGCCUCAAAAAAAAAAAAAGUUUCCUCAAAUGAGCCCAGCUUGUGCCACACCACACAGUUCUGUCUGAAAUUCUCUCUCAUCUUGUCCUUUUUCUGCCCAUCUUUCCAACAUGGUCUCUCUUCUGGGAAGCCAUCCCUGACACCUCAGGUCUAGGGAGCUAGUCUGGACUAGAGCCCAUAUUAUCUUCUGUUGGGAUUAAUUAGGUUCUUUCUGGCCACUAGAUUCAGAGUUCCAAAAAGUCUGCCCAUGGCUGGCUUGCUCUCCACGCAUCCCCAGAGUUCAGAACAACGCCUGGCAAUUAAUACACACCUACAAUGUAACAAAUGGCUUUUUACCAUAAAUAUAGUCUUGCUCUAUAGGGGCUGGGCCUCUCCAAUUUCACAUCAGUGCACUCCAGCCAUGUUCCUCACAUCACACUUUUCUGUUGAUGCUAUACUUUAGAUCAACUGCCAGCAGCAUCCCGCCCCAUAGAUUUUCAUUUUAGCCUCAAGGGUAUCCAUGAAUUAAGACAUCUUAGGACACCCUCCUCCUCCAAAUAAUUGAUACACAAGAAAACACUAAACUGUGGAGUAAGUUUACCCUAGUUGCACAUCCUGAAUCUGAUAAAAAGUAGCCUCACUGGGGAGGGCCCAGGGGACUGAAGACACUUAGAUAUUCCUUCCCUUUGGACAAGCUCACAAAACCCACGCCUCUUGGUUCACCUGGAUGCUUACCGCUUGUGAAACAGGUGGAGGAGGAUCUUGCCACAAACAAAGCAACUGCUGCCUCCUACUGGUUUAAAAGGGGUGGGGUGACCCUUCCUUGCUUGUGUGCAUACGGAGGACAGUACAAGGUCCGCACCUAAGGAAGGAAAGCCAGGACAACCACCUCACAGUUGCUUUUCCCCUUUUUAUUAAAAAUAGACCCAAAACACUUUAUGUAUCAUACAAAAGUUUCGUUCGCUGGUGGCAGUCACAGGAAAGACUGGUCCCUCAGCGCUGAUGAUCCGCCUCCUCCAGAGGGCGGGGACCUCGGGAGCAGUGGCUGAGCCUUGGGGAAUGCCUGUAAAGACUGCUCUCUCUGGCAACAGCCGGCUAGGGGUGGGGGCUGUUCUUGGAGCAGCUUUUCCCACCCCACCCAAUGGCAAAGAUUAGAUACUUGAAAGUGCCUCUUUAGUGCUAAGGUAAACAGUGGAGUGAAAUGGAAACCCCUGUCACUGAUUCCCAGGGUCUAGGGUUUGGUUUUCCUUCUAUUGGCCCCAUCCGAUCCUUUAUUUUUUUUAAACCAAGAAUGGGGGGUGGAUAAACUACCCUCAGACUCUGGGGCCCUGAUAUCUGAGACCAGAAUUUCACUCCAUCUUUGCUUUUCUGUGGUCUAGCCCCACCACCAAUGUUUGUCCUGUUUAUUC